UGGGGAAUUUUGGACAAUGGGCGCAAGCCUGAUCCAGCCAUGCCGCGUGUCUGAAGAAGGCCUUCGGGUUGUAAAGGGCUUUUGUCAGGGAAGAAAAGGGCGGGGUUAAUACCCCUGUCUGAUGACGGUACCUGAAGAAUAAGCACCGGCUAACUACGUGCCAGCAGCCGCGGUAAUACGUAGGGUGCGAGCGUUAAUCGGAAUUACUGGGCGUAAAGCGGGCGCAGACGGUUACUUAAGCAGGAUGUGAAAUCCCCGGGCUCAACCUGGGAACUGCGUUCUGAACUGGGUGACUAGAGUGUGUCAGAGGGAGGUAGAAUUCCACGUGUAGCAGUGAAAUGCGUAGAGAUGUGGAGGAAUACCGAUGGCGAAGGCAGCCUCCUGGGAUAACACUGACGUUCAUGCCCGAAAGCGUGGGUAGCAAACAGGAUUAGAUACCCUGGUAGUCCACGCCCUAAACGAUGUCGAUUAGCUGUUGGGCAGCUUGACUGCUUAGUAGCGAAGCUAACGCGUGAAAUCGACCGCCUGGGGAGUACGGUCGCAAGAUUA
rnacentral:rRNA from 1 species